AUAACUUCUCGUACAACGACCAAACGGACAUUUCCAAACUCUCUCAUUAUCCUAGCAUGAGGAGAUGCUCACUGCCCUUGACUCCAGAAUCCAGAGAUGGAGAUAUGGCCUGAUCCACCUGAGGUUAUAUUUGAAUAAUUAAAUGCAGUGUUAGAGUGGAGUAAGACAUUAUCAAUGCCCACUACUAUCUGGGUCUGCUACUUUGUGAUACAACUCUUCAGGUUCUUGUGUCAGCCAGGUCUCAAGACAGGAAAGUGACACACUAGAGCCUUCAAGGCUGGUGCUUUAGGCCAGGCCUGUCAUGUCUGCAGUUCACUCUACGGAUGAUAGUUUUGCUGCUGAUAUCAUAAGUUAUGGAGUUUCUGUCAGUGAGGGUCCUCUUGCAGUGACUAACUGAAUUCAGGACCCAACUCUCCUAGCCACUGCUGAACACAACAUGGGAAUUAGAACUCAGGACCUUGAGCUUGCCAAGCAGGUGC